ensembl:snoRNA small nucleolar RNA SNORA18
UGCGAGGUCUAUCCCGAUGAGCCCCUCUCAGUAGGGUUCCGUCGUUGGAAACGCCUCGUAGAGAAACUCCUCUGUGGCUUCGCUUUACCCACCGAGCUGUUUCAGUUGGCUGUGGUGGGCUGGUCACGCCACUGGACAUCU